AGCAGCCGCGGUAAUUCCAGCUCCAAUAGCGUAUAUUAAAGUUGCUGCAGUAAAAAGCUCGUAGUUGAAUUUCGGGACUAAUAUGUCGGUCGUGCCUCGGUACGUACUGGCUUAUUGGUUUCUCCUUUCUGAAGAACCAUGAUGUCAUUUAUUUGGUGUCGUGGGGAAUCAGGACUGUUACUUUGAAAAAUUAGAGUGUUUAAAGCAAGCUAACGCUUGAAUACAUUAGCAUGGAAUAAUGAAAUAGGACGUUCGAUCCUAUUUUGUUGGUUUCUAGGAUUGACGUAAUGAUUAAUAGGGAUAGUUGGGGGCAUUAGUAUUCAAUUGUCAGAGGUGAAAUUCUUGGAUUUAUUGAAGACUAACUACUGCGAAAGCAUUUGCCAAGGAUGUUUUCAUUAAUCAAGAACGAAAGUUAGGGGAUCGAAGACGAUCAGAUACCGUCGUAGUCUUAACCAUAAACUAUGCCGACUAGGGAUCGGAUGAUGUUAAUUUUUAAUGACUCAUUCGGCGCCUUAAC
rnacentral:rRNA from 1 species